rnacentral:lncRNA from 1 species
AACGGCGUUGGAGAUGGAUUGGCCAUGUACUUAGGAUGGAUGCCAACAGUAUAUGUUCAGUUGCACUGACAUGGAAACCAGAGGGAAAAGGAAAGUUGGACGUCCCAAAACCACCUGGAGACGGACUGUAGAGACAGAACGAACAUCACUUGGAUGGAACAGCUGGGCUUCAGCAAGAACAGUAGCUAAAGACCGUGUGAGAUGGAAACAAUGUAUCAGGGCCUUAAAUGCCGACCGGCAUGAAGAGGAUAGGUGAGGUGAGG